GAUCCUGGCUCAGGAUGAACGCUAGCUACAGGCUUAACACAUGCAAGUCGAGGGGCAGCGGGAUUGAAGCUUUGCUUCAAUUGCCGGCGACCGGCGCACGGGUGAGUAACGUGUAUCCAACCUUCCGUACACUCAGGGAUAGCCUUUCGAAAGAAAGAUUAAUACCUGAUGGUAUCUUAAGCACACAUGUAAUUAAGAUUAAAGAUUUAUCGGUGUACGAUGGGGAUGCGUUCCAUUAGGUAGG
rnacentral:rRNA from 1 species